rnacentral:rRNA from 1 species
ANNUGGGNCGANUAGCCAUGCGAGUCGAGAGGGUUCGGCCCUCGGCGAACUGCUCAGUAACACGUGNGANAAUCUAACCUUAGGUGGAGCAUAACCUCGGGAAACUGAGAAUAAUACUCCAUAGAUCUUUGAGGCUGGAAUGCGCUUAGAUUGAAAGCUUCGGCGCCUAAGGAUGAGUCUGCGGACUAUCAGGUAGUAGUCAGGGUAAAGACCUGACUAGCCUACGACGGAUACGGGUUGUGAGAGCAAUAACCCGGAGAUGAUAUCUGAGACACGAUAUCAGGCCCUACGGGGCGCAGCAGGCGCGAAAACUUCACAAUGCGCGAAAGCGCGAUGAGGGGAUCCCAAGUGCUUGCACGUAAGUGUAAGCUGUUUUUCUGUCUAAAAAGCAGAGAGAGUAAGGGCUGGGUAGGACGGGUGCCAGCCGCCGCGGUAAUACCUGCAGCUCAAGUGGUGGCCGCUAUUAUUGGGCCUAAAACGUCCGUAGCCGGCUGAGUAAAUGCCUGGGUAAAUCGUGUGGCUUAACCAUACGAAUUCCGGGUAGACUGCUCAGCUUGGGACCGGAAGAAGUUAGAGGUACUCCUGGGGUAGGGGUGAAAUCCUGUAAUCCUGGGGGGACCACCAGUGGCGAAGGCGUCUAACUAGGACGGGUCUGACGGUGAGAGACGAAGCCCUGGGGCGCAAACCGGAUUAGAUACCCGGGUAGUCCAGGGUGUAAACGCUGCUUGCUUGAUGUUAGCUGGGCUCCGAGCUCGGCUAGUGUCGGAGAGAAGUUGUUAAGCAAGCUGCCUGGGAAGUACGGUCGCAAGACUGAAACUUAAAGGAAUUGGCGGGGGGAGCA